GGGUGCAGUCUGCACGAGCGCACCCUUACCUUUAGUUGCCAUCAUGUUAUGGUGGGUCUCUAGGGAGACUGCCUGAGUACCAGGGAAGAGAGGGGGUGUGACGUCAAAUCCGUGCGCCCUUUAUCCUGGGGGCGACACAUGUUCUACUGUGCUGGGUACAGAGGGCAGCUACAUCGUGAUGGGGUGCAAAUCUCUAAAGCCUAUUUCAAUUCGGAUAGGAGUCUGCAACCCCACUCCUUGGACCUGGAUUCGCUAGAAUUCGCAGAUCACCCAUGCCGCGGUGAAUACGUU
rnacentral:rRNA from 1 species